CAGCUUACUGAGCCGACACUGACGCUGAGGCACGAAAGGCGUGGGGAUCGAACAGGAUUAGAUACCCUGGUAGUCCACGCCGUAAACGAUGAUUACUCGCUGUUGGCGAUACACUGUCAGCGGCUAAGCAAAAGCAAUAAGUAAUCCACCUGGGGAGUACGGCCGCAAGGUUGAAACUCAAAGGAAUUGACGGGGGCCCGCACAAGCGGAGGAACAUGUGGUUUAAUUCGAUGAUACGCGAGGAACCUUACCUGGGCUUAAAUGUAGAGUGCAUUUUCUAGAGAUAGGAAUUCCCUUCGGGGCUUUCUGCAAGGUGCUGCAUGGUUGUCGUCAGCUCGUGCCGUGAGGUGUCGGGUUAAGUCCCAUAACGAGCGCAACCCUUAUCGUUAGUUGCCAUCUGGUAAAGCAGGGGACUCUAGCGAAACUGCCACCGUAAGGUGAGAGGAAGGUGGGGAUGACGUCAAAUCAGCACGGCCCUUAUGUCCAGGGCUACACACGUGUUACAAUGGUCGGUACAGAGGGCAGCUACCUGGUGACAGGAUGCUAAUCUCGAAAACCGAUCUCAGUUCGGAUCGAAGUCUGCAACUCGACUUCGUGAAGCUGGAUUCGCUAGUAAUCGCGCAUUCAGCCAUGGCGCGGGAAUACGUCCCG
rnacentral:rRNA from 1 species